GCCGUGUGUGGAGAAGCUGCUGCCGGUGUCAUGGCGGAGCUGAGUGAGGAGGCGCUGCUGUCAGUAUUACCGACGAUCCGGGUCCCUAAGGCUGGAGACCGGGUCCACAAAGACGAGUGCGCCUUCUCCUUCGACACGCCGGAGUCUGAGGGGGGCCUCUACAUCUGUAUGAACACGUUUCUGGGCUUUGGGAAACAGUAUGUGGAGAGACAUUUCAAUAAGACCGGCCAGCGAGUCUACUUGCACCUCCGGCGGACCCGGCGCCCGCUUGGCACAGAUGUUUUUUAGCUUUAUUCCGUUCUGAGAUGAAGCACUACCUCCUUCCGUCCCUCCUCCCGACUUGUUCCUUCGCUCGUGCUCAUUGCUGAUCCAGCCCUUCCUGCUUCUUUACAGAAAGAGGAGGACCCUGCUACAGGCACUGGAGACCCACCCCGGAAGAAGCCCACGCGGCUGGCUAUUGGUGUUGAAGGCGGAUUUGACCUUAGCGAGGAGAAGUUUGAAUUAGACGAGGAUGUGAAGAUUGUCAUUUUGCCAGAUUACCUGGAGAUUGCCCGGGAUGGACUGGGGGGACUGCCUGACAUUGUCAGAGAUCGGGUGACCAGUGCAGUGGAGGCCCUACUGUCGGCCGACUCAGCCUCCCGCAAGCAGGAGGUGCAGGCAUGGGAUGGGGAAGUACGGCAGGUGUCUAAGCAUGCCUUCAGCCUCAAGCAGUUGGACAACCCUGCUCGAAUCCCUCCCUGUGGCUGGAAGUGCUCCAAGUGUGACAUGAGAGAGAACCUGUGGCUCAACCUGACUGAUGGCUCCAUCCUCUGUGGGCGACGCUACUUCGAUGGCAGUGGGGGCAACAACCACGCUGUGGAGCACUACCGAGAGACAGGCUACCCGUUAGCUGUCAAGCUGGGCACCAUCACCCCUGAUGGAGCUGACGUGUACUCAUAUGAUGAGGAUGACAUGGUCCUGGACCCCAGCCUGGCUGAGCACCUGUCCCACUUCGGCAUCGACAUGCUGAAGAUGCAGAAGACAGACAAGACGAUGACUGAGUUGGAGAUAGACAUGAACCAGCGGAUUGGUGAAUGGGAGCUGAUCCAGGAGUCAGGUGUGCCACUCAAGCCCCUGUUUGGGCCUGGCUACACAGGCAUCCGGAACCUGGGUAACAGCUGCUACCUCAACUCUGUGGUCCAGGUGCUCUUCAGCAUCCCUGACUUCCAGAGGAAGUAUGUGGAUAAGCUGGAGAAGAUCUUCCAGAAUGCCCCGACGGACCCUACCCAGGAUUUCAGCACCCAGGUGGCCAAGCUGGGCCAUGGCCUUCUCUCCGGGGAGUAUUCCAAGCCAGUACCGGAGUCGGGCGAUGGGGAGCGGGUGCCAGAACAGAAGGAAGUUCAAGAUGGCAUUGCCCCUCGGAUGUUCAAGGCCCUCAUCGGCAAGGGCCACCCUGAAUUCUCCACCAACCGGCAGCAGGAUGCCCAGGAGUUCUUCCUUCACCUUAUCAACAUGGUGGAGAGGAAUUGCCGGAGCUCUGAAAAUCCUAAUGAAGUGUUCCGCUUCUUGGUGGAGGAAAAGAUCAAGUGCCUGGCCACAGAGAAGGUGAAGUACACCCAGCGAGUUGACUACAUCAUGCAGCUGCCUGUGCCCAUGGAUGCAGCCCUUAACAAAGAGGAGCUUCUGGAGUACGAGGAGAAGAAGCGGCAAGCCGAAGAGGAGAAGAUGGCACUGCCAGAACUGGUUCGGGCCCAGGUGCCCUUCAGCUCUUGCCUGGAGGCCUACGGGGCCCCUGAGCAGGUCGAUGACUUCUGGAGCACGGCCCUGCAGGCCAAGUCAGUAGCUGUCAAGACCACACGAUUUGCCUCAUUCCCUGACUACCUGGUCAUCCAGAUCAAGAAGUUCACCUUCGGCUUAGACUGGGUGCCCAAGAAACUGGAUGUGUCCAUCGAGAUGCCAGAGGAGCUCGACAUCUCCCAGUUGAGGGGCACAGGGCUGCAGCCCGGAGAGGAGGAGCUGCCAGACAUUGCCCCACCCCUGGUCACUCCGGAUGAGCCCAAAGCGCCCAUGCUGGAUGAAUCAGUCAUCAUCCAGCUGGUGGAGAUGGGAUUCCCUAUGGACGCCUGCCGCAAAGCUGUCUACUACACGGGCAACAGCGGGGCUGAGGCCGCCAUGAACUGGGUCAUGUCACACAUGGAUGAUCCAGAUUUUGCAAACCCCCUCAUCCUGCCUGGCUCUAGUGGGCCGGGCUCCACAAGCGCAGCAGCCGACCCCCCUCCUGAGGACUGUGUGACCACCAUUGUCUCCAUGGGCUUCUCCCGGGACCAGGCCUUGAAAGCGCUGCGGGCCACGAACAAUAGUUUAGAACGGGCUGUGGACUGGAUCUUCAGUCACAUUGACGACCUGGAUGCUGAAGCUGCCAUGGACAUCUCAGAGGGCCGCUCAGCUGCCGACUCCAUCUCUGAGUCUGUGCCAGUGGGACCUAAAGUCCGGGAUGGUCCUGGAAAGUAUCAGCUCUUUGCCUUCAUUAGUCACAUGGGCACCUCUACCAUGUGUGGUCACUACGUCUGCCACAUCAAGAAAGAAGGCAGAUGGGUGAUCUACAAUGACCAGAAAGUGUGUGCCUCCGAGAAGCCGCCCAAGGACCUGGGCUACAUCUACUUCUACCAGAGAGUGGCCAGCUAAGAGCCUGCCUCACCCCUUACCAAUGAGGGCAGGGGAAGACCACCUGGCAUGAGGGAGAGGGGCUGAGGGAUGGACUUCAGCCCCUCUGCUCUGUACCCUUUUUCCUUUUGUCCCCGGCAGCAGGGAAGAAGCUGGAGGCCGUGGGAGAAUGGCUGGGCAGAGCAGAGGGGCAGCGAUAGACUCUGGGGAUGGAGCAGGACGGGGACGGGAGGGGCCGGCCACCUGUCUGUAAGGAGACUUUGUUGCUUCCCCUGCCCCCGGAAUCCACAGUGCUCUGCUUCUCUGUGUCGCCCCGCCCAGCCCCCUGGUGUGGAGGGAGGGGUCUCGUUUGUGCGCGUGGGUGUAGCUUUGUGCAUCCUCUCCCAGUGGAGCGAUCACCUGUGCCUCCCCUCCCCCUUUGUUUGCCCCUGUGUGGUUGGUCAAGGAGGGAUGUGAGGGAAAUAGGGACCCCCCGACUUGCCCUCCUGCCUCAGUCUUUCCCCCACCCUGUCUCUUCCUUGUCCUUCUCUGGAAAAUGCCAAAAUACACGAUGUGAAUAAAAGUACAACGGCUAAA